GGGUGAGUAACACGUGGAUAACCUACCUAUAUGACUGGGAUAACUUCGGGAAACCGGAGCUAAUACCGGAUAAUAUAUUGAACCGCAUGGUUCAAUAGUGAAAGACGGUUUUGCUGUCACUUAUAGAUGGAUCCGCGCCGCAUUAGCUAGUUGGUAAGGUAACGGCUUACCAAGGCAACGAUGCGUAGCCGACCUGAGAGGGUGAUCGGCCACACUGGAACUGAGACACGGUCCAG
rnacentral:rRNA from 1 species